GCUCAACCGUGGAGGGGCAUUGGAAACUGGGAAACUUGAGUGUGGUGAGGAAAAUGGAAUUCCCUGUGGAACGGUGAAAUGGGCAAAAAUAUGGAGGAACACCAGUGGCAAAGGCGACUUUCUGGUCUGUUCUGACGCUGAUGUGCGAAAGCGUGGGGAUCAAACAGGAUUAGAUACCCUGGUAGUCCAUGCCGUAAACGAUGAGUGCUAAGUGUUAGGGGGUUUCCGCCCCUUAGUGCUGCAGCUAACGCAUUAAGCACUCCGCCUGGGGAGUACGACCGCAAGGUUGAAACUCAAAGGAAUUGACGGGGACCCGCACAAGCGGUGGAGCAUGUGGUUUAAUUUCAAUCAACGCGAAGAACCUUACCAAAUCUUGACAUCCUUUGAAAACUCUAGAGAUAGAGUCUUCCCCUUCGGGGGACAAAGUGACAGGUGGUGCAUGGUUGUCGUCAGCUCGUGUCGUGAGAUGUUGGGUUAAGUCCCGCAACGAGCGCAACCCUUAAGCUUAGUUGCCAUCAUUAAGUUGGGCACUCUAGGUUGACUGCCGACUGACAAACCGGAGGAAGGUGACGGAUGACGUCAAAUCAUGCAUGCUUAUUUAUGAUUUGGGCUACACACGUGCUACAAUGGAUAAUACAAAG
rnacentral:rRNA from 1 species